UUGCUGUGGUAUUUUGACUAUACGAAGGUAUUGAAAUAAGAUUUUAAAUGAGUGCUAAGAGAAUGAUUAAACAAUUAAAAGCUUUCUUUAAUUGAAUAAUUGAAUUUAAUUUUUUAGUGCAAAAGCAAAAAUAAAAAUUAGGGACAAGAAGACCCUAUGAAUUUUUUAUUAAAUUUUAUAAAACUUUAUAUAAAAUUUAAUUUAAUUGGGGUGAUGGAAAAAGAAUAAAUAUCUUUUUUUUUAAAAAAAAUUGGUUCCGUUUUUAGCGAUUAAAUGAAAAAAAUACUCUAGGGAUAACAGCGUAAUAAUUUUGGAUAGUUCAUAUAGAUAAAAUAGUUUGCGACCUCGAUGUUG
rnacentral:rRNA from 1 species